AUUGAACGCUGGCGGCAGGCCUAACACAUGCAAGUCGAGCGGAUGAAGGGAGCUUGCUCCUGGUUUCAGCGGCGGACGGGUGAGUAAUGCCUAGGAAUCUGCCGGUAUUGGUGUAUAACGUCCGGAAACGGGCGCUAAUACCGCAUACGUCCUAAAGGAGAAAGUGGGGGAUGUUCGGGCCUUACGCUCUCAGCUGGGCCUAGGUCGGAUUAGCUAGUUGGUGGGGUAAAGGCCUACCAAGGCGACGAUCCGUAACUGGCCUGAGAGGAUGAUCAGUCACACUGGAACUGAGACACGGUCCAGACUCCUACGGGAGGCAGCAGUGGGGAAUAUUGGACAAUGGGCGAAAGCCUGAUCCAGCCAUGCCGCGUGUGUGAAGAAGGUCUUCGGAUUGUAAAGCACUUUAAGUUGGGAGGAAGGGCAGUAAGUUAAUACCUUGCUGUUUUGACGGUACCAACAGAAUAAGCACCGGCUAACUUCGUG
rnacentral:rRNA from 1 species